ensembl:miRNA gmo-mir-11228 gmo-mir-11228
UCAUUUUCACACCUGAUGUAUAUGCAUCAUCAGGUGUGAGAAUGAUUCGU